UAGCAUAUCAUAAGCGGAGGAAAAGAAACCAACCGGGAUUGCUCAGUAACGGCGAGUGAAGCGGCAAGAGCUCAAAUUUGAAAUCUGGCCCCUUUGGGGUCCGAGUUGUAAUUUGCAGAGGAUGCUUCGGGUGCGGUCCCCAUCUAAGUGCCCUGGAACGGGCCGUCAUAGAGGGUGAGAAUCCCGUCUGGGAUGGGCGGCCGCGCCCGUGUGAAGCUCCUUCGACGAGUCGAGUUGUUUGGGAAUGCAGCUCUAAGCGGGUGGUAAAUUUCAUCUAAAGCUAAAUACUGGCCGGAGACCGAUAGCGCACAAGUAGAGUGAUCGAAAGAUGAAAAGCACUUUGAAAAGAGAGUUAAACAGCACGUGAAAUUGUUGAAAGGGAAGCGUUGUCCACCAGACUCGCCCGGGGGGGCUCAGCCGGCACGUGUGCCGGUGUACUCCUCUCCGGGCGGGCCAGCAUCGGUUUGGGCGGCUGGUGAAAGGCCCCGGGAAUGUAACACCCUCCGGGGUGCCUUAUAGCCCGGGGUGCCAUGCAGCCAGCCUGGACCGAGGCCCGCGCUUCGGCGAGGAUGCUGGCGUAAUGGUGGUCAACGGCCCGUCUUGAAACACGGACCAAGGAGUCUAACAUCUAUGCGAGUGUUCGGGUGUCAAACCCGUCCGCGCAGUGAAAGCGAACGGAGGUGGGAGCCCCUCGGGGCGCACCAUCGACCGAUCCUGAUGUCUUCGGAUGGAUUUGAGUAAGAGCAUAGCUGUUGGGACCCGAAAGAUGGUGAACUAUGCCUGAAUAGGGCGAAGCCAGAGGAAACUCUGGUGGAGGCUCGCAGCGGUUCUGACGUGCAAAUCGAUCGUCAAAUUUGGGUAUAGGGGCGAAAGACUAAUCGAACCAUCUGGUAGCUGGUCCUGC
rnacentral:rRNA from 1 species